ACGUAGGGUGCAAGCGUUAAUCGGAAUUACUGGGCGUAAAGCGUGCGCAGGCGGUUGUGCAAAUCUGAUGUGAAAUCCCCGGGCUUAAACUGGGAACUGCAUUGGAGAAUGCACGGCUAGAGUGCGUCAGAGGGGGGUGGAAUUCCGCGUGUAGCAGUGAAAGGCGUAGAGAUGCGGAGGAACACCGAUGGCGAAGGCAGCACCCUGGGAUGACACUGACGCUCAUGCACGAAAGCGUGGGGAGCAAACAG
rnacentral:rRNA from 1 species